rnacentral:rRNA from 1 species
AUACGGAGGGUCCGAGCGUUAUCCGGAAUCAUUGGGUUUAAAGGGUCCGUAGGCGGGAAUCUAAGUCAGUGGUGAAAUCUUGCAGCUCAACUGUAAAAUUGCCAUUGAUACUGGAUUUCUUGAAUUAGUGUGAAGUGAUUAGAAUGUGUAGUGUAGCGGUGAAAUGCAUAGAUAUUACACAGAAUACCAAUUGCGAAGGCAGAUCACUAACACUAUAUUGACGCUGAGGGACGAAAGCGUGGGGAGCGAACAGGGUUAGAAACCCUAGUAGUCC